ensembl:rRNA 5S_rRNA 5S ribosomal RNA
GUCUACAGCCAUAUCAUCCUAAAUGGGCCCAAUCUCCUUUGAUCUCAGAAGCUAAGCAAGGUUGGGAUGGUUAGGAUUUGGAUGAGAAUGACACACUUACAUUUUGAAUGACA